rnacentral:rRNA from 1 species
UGGGGAAUUUUGGACAAUGGGGGAAACCCUGAUCCAGCCAUGCCGCGUGCGGGAAGAAGGCCUUCGGGUUGUAAACCGCUUUUGGCAGGAACGAAACGGCGUGCGCCAAUACCGCGCGCUAAUGACGGUACCUGCAGAAUAAGCACCGGCUAACUACGUGCCAGCAGCCGCGGUAAUACGUAGGGUGCAAGCGUUAAUCGGAAUUACUGGGCGUAAAGCGUACGCAGGCGGCUGUGCAAGACAGGUGUGAAAUCCCCGGGCUCAACCUGGGAACUGCAUUUGUGACUGCAUAGCUAGAGUCCGUAAGAGGGGGGUGGAAUUCCACGUGUAGCAGUGAAAUGCGUAGAGAUGUGGAGGAACACCGAUGGCGAAGGCAGCCCCCUGGGAUGAGACUGACGCUCAGGUACGAAAGCGUGGGGAGCAA